UGUCUUCUGCCCUGUCCUUCCUCCUGAGGCUCCUUCAAAGGGGACAGAAGAAUUUCUAACCCGUAAAACCCUCUAUGCAGCCUCCAUCCCCAUAAAGCCACCAGUGAGGGAUUACAGACCAGCCAUGACCCUCCCCCAUUCUACCCCUCUGAGAGGACAGGUGUGAGGAACAAGCCCCUCCAUAGACAAGGAGCCUUCACAUUACAUCAGACCAGGACUUCGCCAGAUGAGGGCACUGAGGCUUAGAGAGAUGGCGGACUUGCCCAGUGCCUUGCACUUGUGCAAAGGAGCUGGCAGCAAACCCAAGCGGUAGCUCCACACUCUGCUCCUUCAAUCAGACACCUGCCUGCCAAUACCUGCCCCUGGUCCCAGUUACACAGGGAAGUCCACCUUCAUGCUCAAAGCUUAGCUUCCUCAAGCUGACUCUCAGGCCACUUCUGUUACGGCCGCUAUUGUCUAACUCAGAGCAUGUGGCUAUCCUUACCUGGCGGGACAGGUUUAAGCACGUGUGCUGGCCUCGAGCCCUCAAAAUAUCAUUUUAUGUCUCA